AACGAACGCUGGCGGCAUGCCUAACACAUGCAAGUCGAACGAGACCUUCGGGUCUAGUGGCGCACGGGUGCGUAACGCGUGGGAAUCUGCCCUUGGGUUCGGAAUAACAGUUGGAAACGACUGCUAAUACCGGAUGAUGACGUAAGUCCAAAGAUUUAUCGCCCAAGGAUGAGCCCGCGUAGGAUUAACUAGUUGGUGAGGUAAAGGCUCACCAAGGCGACGAUCCUUAGCUGGUCUGAGAGGAUGAUCAGCCACACUGGGGCUGAGACGCGGCCCAGACUACUACGGGAGGCGGCAGUGGGGAAUAUUGGACAAGGGGCGAAAGCCUGAUCCAGCAAUGCCGCGUGAGUGAUGAAGGCCUUAGGGUUGUAAAGCUCUUUUACCCGGGAUGAUAAUGACAGUACCGGGAGAAUAAGCUCCGGCUAACUCCGUG
rnacentral:rRNA from 1 species